UGGAAUGUGCUUCCCGCGGGGGAUGAUGCUCCAGCCCCUUCUCCCAGCCUGCCCUGGCGGACGGCCCGCGCCAAGGGCGCUCCUCUGCGCGCCGCUGCCGGGCCGCCCACCCUGCGGCCUGAGCCGCUGGCGGCCCGCGCUGUCAGCUGACCCUCUCGCUCCGCGACCUCUGCUUCUCCCUCAGGAUAGCUCCGAGGUGGCUGCUCUGAACGCACUUCGGCCUCUGCGGAAGGAAUUCGUGCCGUUCCUGCUGAACUUCCUGAGGGAACAGAGCAGCCGGGUCCUCCCGCAGGGCCCCUCGACCCCCGCCAAGACCCCAGGCGCCUCGGCAGCCUUGCCAGCGAGGCAGGGGGCCCCGCCGCGGGGUGGCCGUGGGGCGCGCAGCCAGCUCUUCCCCGCGGCCGAGCCCCUCAGCACCGCCGCCGAGGCACCUCUGGCCCGCCGUGCGGGCCGCAGGCGUGGUCCGGGACCGGGGCAGUCCCGCGAACGAGGUGGUCGGGGCUCCGGGGCCCCGGAGGAGGGGGCCAGUGGCGAGAGCCCGCCUUGGGCCGGAGGCCGGAAGCCUAAGGGCUCAGGCAGCCCUGGGAGCCCCAGACUGUCGCUCUCUGAUCCGCCAAACCUCAGCAACUUGGAGGAGUUUCCUCCCGUAGGCACCGUUCCUCCCGGCUCUGCAGGCAGGACGAAGCCUUCUCGAAGGAUCAACCCAACACCGGUGAGCGAAGAGCGGUCACUGUCCAAGCCCAAGACCUGCUUCACCUCACCCCCAAUCAGCUGUGUCCCCAGUUCCCAACCCUCAGCCCUGGACACUAGCCCUUGGGGCCUUGGCCUUCCCCCAGGGUGCAGAAGUCUGCAAGAGGAGCGGGAGAUGCUCAGGAAGGCGCGCUCCAAGCAGCUCCAGCAGUCACCUACCCCAGCCUGUCCCGUCCUAGAAUCGGGGUCUCCCGUUCCCAGCAGGACAGGAAGCCUCACAGCAGAGCCUGCGGACCCAGCCCGAGUGUCUUCUCCACAGCGCCUCGAGCUGGUAGCCCUUAUCUACUCCUCAUGCAUUGCUGAGAACCUAGUACCAAACCUUUUCUUGGAGCUUUUCUUCGUCCUUCAGCUCCUUACUGCCCGGAGAAUGGUGGCCACCAAGGACAGUGACCUUGAAUCAAGUCAGGGUGCCCUAGAUUCCCUGGAAACUCCCCUGUUUCGGAGCAUCCAUGAUUGCGUCUUCUUUGCAGUACAAGUUUUGGAGCAUCAGUUUCAGGUUCUCUCCUACCUGGAUAAAGGGACCUUGAAGCUGCUGGCUGAGAAUGAGCGGCUGCUGUGCUUCUCACCGGCUCUGCAGGGCCGCCUUCGAGCUGCUUAUGAAGGCAGUGUUGCCAAGGUCUCCCUCAUGAUGCCACCCUCUGCUCAAGCUGUCUCCUUUCAGCCAGAGACUGACAAUCGUGCCAACUUCUCCAGUGACCGAGCCUUUCAUACUUUUAAAAAACAGAGGGAUGUGUUCUAUGAGGUACUUCGAGAGUGGGAAGAUCACCAUGAGGAACCCAGCUGGGAUUUUGAGAAGGGCUUGGGUAGCAGGAUCAGAGCCAUGAUGGGUCAACUUUCAGCAGCCUGCAGCCAUAGCCACUUUGUCCGCCUUUUCCAAAAACAGCUUCUCCAGAUGUGUCAGAGCCCUGGCGGUGCUGGGGGAUCUGUUCUGGGUGAAGCUCCAGAUGUAUUGAAUAUGCUAGGAGCUGACAAGCUAGGACGGUUGCGGCAGCUCCAAGAACGCCUUAUAGCCCCUCAGAGCAGUGGAGGACCCUGCCCACCCCCAACCUUCCCAGGCUGUCAAGGCUUCUUCAGGGAUUUCAUCAUGAGUGCCAGCAGCUUCCAUUUUAAUCAGCAUCUCAUGGAUAGUUUAAGUUUAAAGAUUCGGGAGCUCAAUGGCCUUCGCCUGCCUCAGCAUGAGCCUGGUGAUGAAGAUGGGGAGUCAGACGUGGACUGGCAGGGUGAACGGAGGCAAUUCGCUGUAGUGCUUCUUAGUCUUAGACUUUUGGCUAAAUUUCUGGGCUUUGUGGCUUUCCUGCCAUACCGGGGACAUGAACCACCCCCAACCCGUGAGCUUCAGGACUCUAUACUGGCCCUCAGGAGCCAGGUCCCUCCUGUUCUGGAUAUACGGGCUCUGCUGCAGCAGGGGUUGUGGGCUCGUCGGGCAGUGCUCACUGUGCCCUGGCUGGUGGAAUUCCUCUCUUUUGCUGACCACAUUGUCCCCUUGCUGGACUAUUACCGGAGUGUCUUUACUCUCCUGCUGCACUUACAUCGGAGUUUGGUCUUAUCAAAGGAGAAUGAAGGAGAGAUGUGCUUCCUGAACAAGCUGCUGCUGCUUGCUGUCCUGGGCUGGCUUUUCCAGAUACCUACAGUUCCUGAGGACUUAUUCUUUCUAGAAGAUGGUCAGGCCUUUGAGGUAGAUACAGCUGCUUCAGAGCAUGGUUUGGACAGUGUGCCUGUUGUGGACCAGCAACUGCUAUACACCUGCUGCCCCUACAUUGGAGAGCUCCGGAAAUUGCUUGCUUCCUGGGUUUCAGGAAGCAGUGGGCGGAGUGGAGGCUUUGUGAGGAAAAUCACUCCCACUACCACCACCAGCCUGGGAACCCUGCCUCUCAAGACCAGCCAGGGGUUGCAGGCUCAACUUGCUGAGGCCUUUUUCCACAAUCAGCCACCCUCCCUACGCAGAACUGUAGAAUUUGUGGCUGAAAGAAUUGGAUCAAACUGUGUCAAACACAUCAAGGCGACACUGGUAGCAGAUUUGGUGCAUCAAGCAGAAUCACUUCUUCAGGAGCAGCUGGUGACACGGGGACAGGAAGGGGGCGAUCCAGCACAGCUGUUGGAAUUCUUGUGUUCUCAACUUUGCCCCCAUGGGGCCCAAGCAUUGACCCAGGGGCGGGAGUUCUGCCAGAGGAAGAGCCCCACCGCUGUGCGAGCACUGUUACCAGAGGAGACUCCAGCUGCUGUUCUAAGCAGUGCAGAGAACAUUGCUGUGGGGCUUGCAACAGAGAAAGCCUGCUCUUGGUUGUCAGCCAACAUCACAGCGCUGAUUAGAAGGGAGGUGAAAGCAGCCGUGAGUCGCAUGCUACGAGCCCAGGGUCCUGAGCCAACUGCCCGGGUGGAGCGGAGGGGCUGCUCCCGAGCCUGUGAGCACCAUGCUCCCCUCCCCUCCCACCUCAUCUCCGAGAUAAAAGAUGUGCUCUCCCUGGCUGCCGGGCCUCGGGACCCUGAGGAGGGAGUUUCCCCAGAGCAUCUGGAACAGCUCCUAAACCAGCUGGGCCAGUCACUGCGAUGCCGGCAGUUCCUGUGCCCGACGGCUGAGCAGCAUCUGGCCAAGUGUUCUGUUGAGCUGGCUUCCCUUCUAGUUGCAGACCAGAUCCCCAUCUUAGGGCCCCCAGCACAGCACAGGCUGGAGCGAGGGCAUGCUCGCAGGCUUCUACACAUGCUGCUUUCCUUGUGGAAGGAUGACUUCCAGGGCCCAGUUCCAUUACAGCUUCUACUUAGCCCAAGAAAUGUAGGGCUUCUGGCAGAUACUAGGCCAAGAGAGUGGGACCUGCUACUGUUCUUACUCCGGGAGCUGGUAGAAAAGGAUCUCAUGGGACAUCUGGAGAUAGAAGCCUGCUUAGGCAGCCUUAAUGAGGCACAGUGGCCAGGGGACUUCUCAGAAGAAUUGUCAACACUGUUUCGCUUGUUCCUAGCUGAGCCCCAUCUGCUAGAACCCCAGCUGAGAGCUUGUGAACUUAUGCAACCAAACCGAGGGACAGUACUGGCCCAAAGCUAGGGCUGGGAAGCAGCCCUCUUGGGCAUGUCACCAGAACCUGCCUCAGGAGGAGGCUCAAAAACCCACUGCACGCCUUGAUGGGGCAAGAGUGUCCAGGUGUGUAAUCAGGCUUGCUGCUCCUAAGUGAAGGAAACGUGUUGCUUCAAGCAUCCAGACACAGGCCUCAACACCUGAGAUCUAGAGGAAGGAGAACCUGAUUCAGAGUCACAGUGGAAAAGCCCAGAGACUCCAAUCUUGGAACAGAAGGGCUGGCGUUUUUAAUCCAGAUGCUAAAAGAAAUGUGUGUGCUGAUCAAUGUAUGUCAAGCCUCAAGUUGCUAUCCCAGUAUCUCUUAAAACUUUGUGGUUCUGAGAAAUCUUAACAGGCAAAGAACUGCUUGUGAGAAAGUUGAUAAAACGUGGAUUUGGAAGUCUACAUUUUCCAUCCAGAACUUGACUGUCACCCAUCCCCAAAUAUUGGCAGCCAAUAAGGUGUAGAAGAGGAAGCUAUCGAGAGUUGACUACGCUUCAGAUUGCUGACUCAGGUCUCUUGAGGGGCUUUGUACCUUAUGCUGUCCACCUAUUUAGAUUCCUACAGUAGCUGAGCUCAUAAUACUAGCGCAUUAAUGUAAAAUCUCAACCCUAAACUGUAAGUACUGCCAUCAUGACCCUCAACGGUACAUUCUAUUUGUUGUUUUUUGAGAUAGUUUCUCUGUGCGGCCCUGGCUGCCUAGGAACUCACGCUGUAGACCAGGUUGGCCUCAUACUCAGAGAUCUGCCUGCCUCUGCCUCUUGCUGGGAUUAAAGGCGUAAACCCACCACUA